CAAUAGCGUAUAUUAAAGUUGUUGCAGUUAAAAAGCUCGUAGUUGGAUUUCGGGGUGGCCUGGCUGGUCCGCCGCAAGGUGAGUACUGGUCAGCCGCCCUUCCUCUCGAAAGCCCCGACUGCUCUUUACUGCAGUGGUCGGGUAGUUCGGGACGUUUACUUUGAAAAAAUUAGAGUGUUCAAGGCAGGCUAUCGCCUGAAUACAUUAGCAUGGAAUAAUGGAAGAGGACCUCGGUCCUAUUUUGUUGGUUUCUAGGGCCGAAGUAAUGAUUAAGAGGGACAGUUGGGGGCAUUCGUAUUUAAUUGUCAGAGGUGAAACUCUUGGAUUUAUGAAAGACGAACUAGUGCGAAAGCAUUUGCCAAGGAUGUUUUCAUUAA
rnacentral:rRNA from 1 species